UCUAGAAAAGCGGCGGUCCCGGCUCCAGCCAGCGGCAGUAGCAGCGGCGCCGGGUCCCGUGUGCAGGUGUCUCCCCCACCCCCACCGCGGCGCGGCGUCCCGGAGCAGCGGCAGCAGCGGCGGCGGCGGCUCUCCCCCUCCAGCGUCAGCACGAGUCCCGUGCGCGUUCGUCCGCGGAGAUCUUUCUCAUCUCGCUCGGCUGCGGGAGCUCGGGCUGAAGCGACUGAGUCCGCGAUGGAGAAAACUUUAGAAACUGUUCCUUUGGAGAGGAAAAAGAGAGAAAAGGAACAGUUCCGUAAACUCUUUAUUGGUGGCUUAAGCUUUGAAACCACGGAAGAAAGUUUGAGAAACUACUACGAGCAAUGGGGAAAGCUCACAGACUGUGUGGUUAUGAGAGAUCCUGCAAGCAAGAGAUCAAGAGGAUUUGGUUUUGUAACUUUCUCCUCCAUGGCCGAGGUUGAUGCUGCCAUGGCUGCAAGGCCUCAUUCCAUUGAUGGCAGGGUAGUUGAGCCAAAACGUGCUGUAGCAAGAGAGGAGUCUGGAAAACCAGGUGCCCAUGUGACUGUGAAGAAGCUGUUUGUUGGUGGAAUUAAAGAAGAUACUGAGGAACACCACCUUAGAGAUUAUUUCGAGGAAUAUGGAAAAAUUGAUACUAUUGAAAUAAUUACUGAUAGGCAGUCUGGAAAGAAAAGAGGCUUUGGCUUUGUUACUUUUGAUGACCAUGAUCCUGUGGAUAAAAUUGUAUUGCAAAAAUAUCACACCAUCAAUGGUCACAAUGCAGAAGUUAGAAAGGCAUUGUCGAGACAAGAAAUGCAGGAAGUCCAAAGUUCAAGGAGUGGAAGAGGAGGGAACUUUGGUUUCGGGGAUUCUCGUGGUGGCGGUGGCAAUUUUGGACCAGGACCAGGAAGCAACUUUAGGGGGGGAUCUGAUGGAUAUGGAAGUGGACGUGGAUUUGGGGAUGGCUAUAAUGGGUAUGGAGGAGGACCUGGAGGUGGCAAUUUUGGAGGUAGCCCUGGUUAUGGAGGAGGAAGAGGAGGAUAUGGUGGUGGAGGACCUGGAUAUGGCAACCAGGGUGGGGGCUACGGAGGUGGUUAUGACAACUAUGGAGGAGGGAAUUAUGGAAGUGGAAAUUACAAUGAUUUUGGAAAUUAUAACCAGCAACCUUCUAACUAUGGCCCAAUGAAGAGUGGAAACUUUGGUGGUAGCAGGAACAUGGGAGGACCAUAUGGUGGAGGAAACUAUGGUCCUGGAGGAAGUGGUGGAAGUGGGGGCUAUGGUGGGAGGAGCCGAUACUGAGCUUCUUCCUACUUACCAUGGAUCUUUUAGAUGCUGCUUCUUCAAUGCAAGGAAAGGAAAUAACCCCAGCGAGGUACUCUUCAGGGACACAGGUCUAGUACAAGAGAACUCUUGACGACUAAGCUCAGCCAGUCUUAAAAAACUGUGCUGUAUCUACAAAGCUUAAACUACAGUAGUUGAUAAGGAUGCCAACGAAAGCUGAGGGUGUAGAGCAAAGUAGUUCUAAGCUUCAGUUAAACUUCUUUAGCAUUGAUAUGAACCAUGGACAAGUAUAUUCUGCUGCCACAAAGACUGUAAAGUGCUUCAUUUCAACAGCUGAGGCAAGCCAAGUGAUCAUUAAUAAAGCUUUUCUUGCUUCCUUCAGUGGUGUUGGUAGUAAAAUGGAAGGUGUCUUGCUGCAGGUAACUAAUGAAGAAGUGGUCAACCACAGAGUCUUCAAGAAAUAAGAAAUUCUGUACCAUCUGAAAGUAGUUCUUGUUGGUGCCUUCAUUUAAGAAGCACUUUUAAGAUAAAAGGGAAUGUUUUCUGAUUAAAAACUUCAUUAGUACAGGUUCUUGAUAAAAUUACAAAAUGAAAUGAGUGCUGUUUGUAAAGGGAAACAUCAAAUUAGCUAAGGAUAAUGUAUUGUUUUAAAAUAGGAUUUGUUAGUAGACAGAAAAGCUCUAUUUUGAGUACAAGUUUUAUAAAAUAAACUUUUGUAUCCAAA